AGUGGGCUGGACAACCGCGUGUUCACACGAGGAAAGUCCGGGCUCCUGCGAGCAGGAUGCCAGCUAACAGCUGGGCGGGGCAACCCGACGGAUCAGUGCCACAGAAAAGAAAACUCCCGGCGCCUGUGCGCCUGGAAAAGCUGAAACGGUGCGGUAAGAGCGCACCAGCGUACAGGUAACUGUGCGGCUUGGUAAACCCCAUCCGGAGCAAGCGCAAAUAGGGACGCCAUACGGCUGCUCGCCCGUGCGUUCGGGUUGCGUGCUCGAGGCGCCAGGUGACUGGCGUCCUAGAUAAAUGGUUGUCUUCAACGACAGAACCCGGCUUACAGGCCCACUCCA
rnacentral:RNase_P_RNA from 1 species